rnacentral:rRNA from 1 species
CAAUGGAGGAAACUCUGAUGCAGCGAUGCCGCGUGAGUGAAGAAGGCCCUUGGGUUGUAAAGCUCUUUCGUCGGGGAAGAAAAUGACUGUACCCGAAUAAGAAGGUCCGGCUAACUUCGUGCCAGCAGCCGCGGUAAUACGAAGGGACCUAGCGUAGUUCGGAAUUACUGGGCUUAAAGAGUUCGUAGGUGGUUGAAAAAGUUGGUGGUGAAAUCCCAGAGCUUAACUCUGGAACUGCCAUCAAAACUUUUCAGCUAGAGUUUGAUAGAGGAAAGCAGAAUUUCUAGUGUAGAGGUGAAAUUCGUAGAUAUUAGAAAGAAUACCAAUUGCGAAGGCAGCUUUCUGGAUCAUUACUGACACUGAGGAACGAAAGCAUGGGUAGCGAAGAGGAUUAGAUACCCUCGUAGUCCAUGCCGUAAACGAUGUGUGUUAGACGUUGGAAAUUUAUUUUCAGUGUCGCAGCGAAAGCAAUAAACACACCGCCUGGGGAGUACGACCGCAAGGUUAAAACUCAAAUGAAUUGACGGGGACCCGCACAAGUAGUGGAGCAUGUGGUUUAAUUCGAAGAUACGCGCAGAACCUUACCAACACUUGACAUGUUCGUCGCGACUUUAAGAGAUUAAAGUUUUCGGUUCGGCCGGACGAAACACAGGUGCUGCAUGGCUGUCGUCAGCUCGUGUCGUGAGAUGUUGGGUUAAGUCCCGCAACGAGCGCAACCCUCACUUUUAGUUGCCAUCAUUUAGUUGGGCACUCUGAAAGAACUGCCAGUGAUAAGCUGGAGGAAGGUGGGGAUGACGUCAAGUCCUCAUGGCCCUUACGUGUUGGGCUAC